rnacentral:rRNA from 1 species
GCCAGACUCCUACGGGAGGCAGCAGUGAGGAAUAUUGGUCAAUGGCCGAGAGGCUGAACCAGCCAAGUCGCGUGAGGGAUGACGGCCCUACGGGUUGUAAACCUCUUUUGUCGGGGAGCAAAGAGAGUCACGUGUGGCUCAUUGAGAGUACCCGGAGAAAAAGCAUCGGCUAACUCCGUGCCAGCAGCCGCGGUAAUACGGAGGAUGCGAGCGUUAUCCGGAUUUAUUGGGUUUAAAGGGUGCGCAGGCGGGCUGUUAAGCCGGCGGUAAAAAUUCAGGGCUCAACCCUGUCGAGCCGUCGGAACUGGCAGUCUUGAGUGGGCGAGAAGUAUGCGGAAUGCGUGGUGUAGCGGUGAAAUGCUUAGAUAUCACGAAGAACCCCGAUUGCGAAGGCAGCCUGCCGCAGCGUUACUGACGCUGAAGCUCGAAAGCGCGGGUAUCGAACAGGAUUAGAUACCCCAGUA